rnacentral:rRNA from 1 species
UACGGAGGGUGCAAGCGUUAUCCGGAUUCACUGGGUUUAAAGGGUGCGUAGGCGGAUAUGUAAGUCCGUGGUGAAAUCUCUGGGCUUAACCCGGAAACUGCCAUGGAUACUAUGUGUCUUGAAUGUUGUUGAGGUGAGCGGAAUAUGUCAUGUAGCGGUGAAAUGCUUAGAUAUGACAUAGAACACCAAUUGCGAAGGCAGCUCACUAAGCAAAUAUUGACGCUGAGGCACGAAAGCGUGGGGAUAAAACAGG